rnacentral:pre_miRNA from 1 species
UUUGAGGGGAAUGUUGUCUGGCUCGAGGACUCUUCUUCUUGAUCUAUAAAGAAGUGUAGUAUUCUCGGACCAGGCUUCAUUCCCCCCAAU